GGAAAAUGUAGAUACCCAGGUUAUCACACCUGUGGUCUACAAUAUGCUCUAUUUAUUGGCUGAAGGCAUAAUUUUUUAUGAAACUGUUGUCUACCCUCUGCUUCCAUAAAUCAGGUCAAUGAUCACAGUUAAAUGUAGCUGGGAGAAAGGCAGCAUAUGAAAGUUGGUCUGGUUUUAGUAAGAAACUUAGUAGAAGAAGCUGUGCCAAGAUUAAAGCCUGUACAGUUCUGAGUGUGUCCAUAGAUGGAGUGCUUGCAAAAUUGCAGUUAUCACUGAUUAUGAAAGGUGACCUUGCCGACAUAGGUAAACCAAAAGAAUGCACCCGUGAAACGUUUUGUUGGCCUAUCUAGAGGGGAAAAACUUCUGUAUGGCUAUAUCCUUUGUGUUCAAAACAUUGUUAUGUUUCAGCAUAUCCUUUCAAAAAAAAAAAAAAAAAAGUAGUAAACCAACUGUUUCAUUCUCUUGAAGGAGGGGAGACUUCAAGGGAUUUUACUCUGACAUCUUCUGGACUUCUAUUUGUUGCACGUCUGAAUGUCUGAUGCCAAGUCUUUGUGGUCUACCAGCAAACCUUGGAUUAAAUGAGGAACUGCCUCUUAUAUGAAGAAGACGCACAAAGUAGUGUGGAGCUGCUGGGGACAAAGCCUGAAGUUGACAUCAUCCUUCAAUUCUCAUCAAUAGAAGUAAAUGAAAAUACUCAAAUGACAACAUGGAGAAACACUGAAGGCAGUCAAAGUAAAACACGCCAUUCUGAUAGUGUGCAACAGUACUCUGGAGGAUGCUCAGUUCAGCUUUCUUGUGGUCAGUGACCUUUUCCUCCUUGGCAGAACAGCAGCUAUAAUUUGACUUUUCUGUCAUUAGUGUAAUGUUUCACUCUGUGGUCUUGAUGCAGAUACCGUUAUUGACUGACACGAAUUCUAAUGAGAGAACGAGUGAGCUGUGCCAGAAAGAUUUCUUGACAACUGUGGGAGUCUGGUAGAUCCAGUCUAUGGGUAGUAUACUGUGGAAAAACUGUUAGGCUCUCAUAUUCACAAAUAAGUAGUCCUUAAGAAACUUCAGAAAUAUAUAUUAAAUAUACUAAUGAUUGGUAGAAGCUGAUUUCAUUAGGUAUGUUUCUGCUGGAGAUCAAAAUGAAGACAAGAUUUGGUGGUAAGAGGGUUAUCUGAAGUGGGCAAAUGGAGCUGGAUAUAGAAAGGUUCAUGAGAAAAAUUCAUAUUACAACUUUGAAAGUCAACAUUUUAGAUAAGACGAAGAAUAAUACUAUAAUGAAAAGGCUGUACUGGGUCAAGAUGAACAUUUAUCCAACCUACUGUUCCAUUUCUGAUAGUGGCUGGAGUAGGCAAGGGAAGUAAAUGUUUGAGAAAGUAUGACUGAGGCAGUUGUGUUGUAUUUCAUUAUUUUCCCAGCUACAAGGCAACUACAGCUUGGAAAGUUCCUAAGCUAGAAGUGCUUUCUGUGUUUUUCAUACAUGAUCAAGUUAUGUCUGUGAAGAAAAAACGUGUGCAAGAAUUUUCCAGUUAAAGUGCAAGUACUCACUAAAAAUCUGAACAUACAAAAUAUGUCACAUUUCAUUUGAGAGCUCAUUAUAUCAAUAGAAUUUUAUAAGAAAAAUAGUAACUGUCUUUCUGCUACUAAUAUUCAUAAUAGUGACUUAAGAUUAAAGACAAGGCCUUGUACUUAACAUGAUAUCAAAGACAGAAUAUGAUGGAGAAAAUAUGUCACUGAAAAACUAUCCCUUGAUUAUUUUUAAAACUGUGGGAAAGGGUAAAAUUAGAGUUUUUUGCACCAAAUAGCACAGCAUAUGUUUGAAUUGUGGAAUUCAUUAUCCACACAAGACUUCUGUAAGUGUUGUAAAUAAUGAAUCUAUAAUCAUGCCAUAGAAAAUUGUUAAUUUUAUCCUGAGAAACUGUGACUUUUGUAUCUUUAGUGCAGCAAGUGGAAUUGUGGUAACAUUUUGUUUCAUGUGGAUGUGUUUCUGAUGACAUGGGUUAUAUUUUCAGAGGUGUGCUACUUUGUUUUGGUAGAAAUAAAGAUGACCCAAACAUGUACA
ensembl:lncRNA